rnacentral:rRNA from 1 species
AGAGUUUGAUCCUGGCUCAGAGCGAACGCUGGCGGCGUGCUUAACACAUGCAAGUCGAACGCGCAGCAUUCUGUAGCAAUACAGGGUGUGGGCGCGUGGCGAACGGGUGCGUAACACGUGGAUAACCUUCCUUCAGGUGGGGAAUAACCCAGUGAAAAUUGGGCUAAUACCGCAUAACAUGACGAUGCCACAUGGUGUUGUCUUCAAAGCCGCAAGGCGCCAGAAGAGGGAUCCGCGGCCGAUUAGCUUGUUGGCGAGGUAAUGGCUCACCAAGGCUUUGAUCGGUAGCCGGACUGAGAGGUUGGCCGGCCACACUGGAACUGAGACACGGUCCAGACUCCUACGGGAGGCAGCAGUGGGGAAUCUUGCACAAUGGACGAAAGUCUGAUGCAGCAACGCCGCGUGGGGGAUGAAGCUUUUCGGAGUGUAAACCCCUUUCGACCCGGAAGA